rnacentral:tRNA from 1 species
GGCGCCGUGGCUUAGUUGGUUAAAGCACAUGUCUAGUAAACAGGAGAUCACGAGUUCGAAUCUCGUCGGUGCCU